rnacentral:siRNA from 1 species
UCAAUCGCUAACAACCGCUACCA